rnacentral:pre_miRNA from 1 species
UUAACUCAUAUUUGUAUGGAAUGGGAUCGUUUGCGUAAGUUUGCCGUUAGGGGCGCUGUUCCAACUGCAUACAAAAUUGGGUUA